rnacentral:tRNA from 1 species
GGGGUUUUGGCUCAGUGGUAGAGUGCUUGCCCAGCAUGAGUGAGGCACUGGGUUUGAUUCCCAGAACCACA